AGCAAAAUCCACCAGAUUCUUGUUCUAAAUCUCACAGACUACCACUGGCUUUUAUUUCGAUAGGCCAUAUUUACUAUUACUUCCGGGUCACGUGGCCAACCUGUCUGUAUUUCAAUGUAGAUCUUCAAACGAAAAAAUGGAAAAAGGAAUUUCAAAAAACCAAAAUCGGACCGUUAUUUGAUUUUGGUUUUGUCAUUUUCGUUUUUGGAUUCAGAACCAAAACCGGGAGAACGGCUCUGUUUUUACCGUUUCUUUGUUUUUGGUUUGAAACGACAAACGAAAAACAGGUGGUUUCUCGUUAUUUUGUUUUGUGUUUCAAACGAAAAAACAAACUAUCAAAACGUACACGGACCGAUCAAGCCUUCUCCUUUUCCAUGAUAUCUGAUCUCGGGAAUUUCCGCACUAGAUACACACGUGACGUCUUUACUCACCUCCCGCAUCACCAGCACGUUUAUCUUGAAGAGGAAAGGUGGUUUUAACGAACCAGAUCACCACACAUGUGGGCGAGAAGGUUCACUGUCCUCAGAGGAAUCAGGCAGAUGGUAGGAAGAGGCUUCCAUCGUCUGCUGGAGUCUGAAGUUUUUGUGUAAAAGGGAUUCAAUGGUGAUAAAUUAGACCAGAAAUUCCCGUCAAGAGGCUCUUCUGUUUCAUCCCUCCCUGAUGAGCUGUUCUCUGAUCUGGUUGAUGGAAGCCAUCGUUCCGAGCCAUUCCUAGAUGGUAUGUGGGACAAAUGAGCGUCAGACAUGACCUUCCAAACAAGCAGCUGUUGUAGGUUCUUUGGAAUUAUACAUGCUUGAUCUUGAUGAAGAUAGUAUGACGAUAACCAGGGGGCUGAAACCGCAAUCCUCUCACUCAAAAAACCUGUCUGGGCCUUCUGUGAAUCCCACGACUUCUCUGAUUCCAUGGCUGUGCAGUGACCUGUGUCUUCUGUCACUCUAUAUAUGGACCAGUGCAUGGAUCCUCCAGCAAACGUCCAGGUGUACAGUGAAAAAAAAGUCUUGUUUGGGGGCAAAGCUUUGAGGAAAGAGAUACAAGCUCUGUUCUUGUGUUGUCUAACAGGCACAUGUUCCUGUCCUGUAACUGUACCCCCGGACACCUCUUUCUUUACGUCCCACUGUUCCACUCGGCAAGGUAUUUUAGAAUUUUUGUUUGGACCUUCAGUGUCUACGGAGGAGGACUCUGUUUGUGACAGCCGCGCUGGGAAACACAUGGAGUCAUUGUGUUAAUGCGCUCAUUGUCCAGUACGAGGACACAGAACAGAGACAGAUCAUCAUAGCCAAAUCACCCGUGGCCCCUUUUGCCGUGCUGAGCUACACCGUUCAGAGGGAGGGCAUCCGUCUCGAGGGGAGUGAAAACCCAGAAAGUGUUUUAAACCAAGGAACAGAUCCAGGGCUUCAACCAAUCAGAGUGAGGACGGGGUUCAUCUACAACCUUUCCCAGGCCACACCUUCUACUUGUUAACAACUUCCUUUGGCUGCAGAACGUAAUGGCUGUUAUUCCUCUGUUUUUAACAAAUGUGAAGUGGCUUAUGUUUUCUAUGUCAGUUGAACUCUCAAUGCCGUGCAUUAUCUGAAGAUAACAGCAUUAUCUUCAUUUGAACAUCAAGGUUAUUUCGAUGGUCAUUUUUGAUAAUUAUAGAUACUAGCAUGAGGCAAACAGAAUUUAAUAUUUAUCAUCCACCAAAGAUAUUCCUAAGAAUUAAAUACUGAUCGCUAUAGAGUUUCUUUCAGGUACAAGCCAUGGUUAAACAUUGCAGGAACAUGUGGUGGAUCAGCAAAGAGCGACAGACGCAAAGCAAACAGAUCGGGCCCACAGCACACUCCCCUUCGCAGAACAUGACCUCAGUUCUCAUCCAGUUAGAAAACUGCAGCAUCAGUCAGCUAUUGAUUGACAGACGUAUUUUUCCUGUCGCUGGUGGAGUGAUAAGACAGCAGUCUUGAACAAACGCUUCUUGACCCUGACUGCCCGUUGCCAUGGCUUCUAUUCCCAUGACUCCUGUUCCCAUGGUUCCUCUGCCUUAAAGGGAAGUUUGUCUGAUUAGAUGAACAAUGGUGUUAUUUUGGGUGGUUCCUACUUUUUCGUCUUGUUUUGCUUUUGGUUGUAAAUGUGCUCAUAUACACAUAUACACAUUUCUUUUUUUUCAUAAUUUUUUUUUUUUUUUUGUAUUUAUAUUUAUGAUCUGUUCCUUCCUAAUACGGCUUUUAUAGACCUCGAACACUAAUAAAUGAGACUGAUUUUCAAACUCAAACUCAACAUCUUCCAAACUCGAUUUUAUCAUCAUCUCGUAAGUAGAUUCUGCUGACUGUGCAAAGCUCUCUCGGCCAGCAGAUAGAGUCAGUUGUGACAACCCAACAUGCAGUGCUGAGUAGGUGUGUAUCUUUGUCUUUCACCCCCCCCCCCCAUAGGCCGGCUGUGAUAGGCUGAGAGCUGAUAUGUUUUGACAGAUCUUUUAAUGGUCGACCUGUGCCUGUGCCUGUACUGAAGGGAGGAAUACUCUCCUUCCUUCCAAAGAAACUCCUUCCUCUCCUGCAAAACAGAAGGCUCUGGAGGGAGGCAUAAAAAGAGCAGAGAGUCAUGAGAUCCUGACGUGGUUGCAAAGUCCAUGGUGAUAUGUGCUCCUUCUUCACAUCAGGCUUUCUCUGAGUGCCACAAUACAAACCAACCACAC